GAGUUUGAUCCUGGCUCAGGACGAACGCUGGCGGCGUGCUUAACACAUGCAAGUCGAACGGAAAGGCCCUGCUUUUGUGGGGUGCUCGAGUGGCGAACGGGUGAGUAACACGUGAGUAACCUGCCCUUGACUUUGGGAUAACUUCAGGAAACUGGGGCUAAUACCGGAUAGGAGCUCCUGCUGCAUGGUGGGGGUUGGAAAGUUUCGGCGGUUGGGGAUGGACUCGCGGCUUAUCAGCUUGUUGGUGGGGUAGUGGCUUACCAAGGCUUUGACGGGUAGCCGGCCUGAGAGGGUGACCGGCCACAUUGGGACUGAGAUACGGCCCAGACUCCUACGGGAGGCAGCAGUGGGGAAUAUUGCACAAUGGGCGGAAGCCUGAUGCAGCAACGCCGCGUGCGGGAUGACGGCCUUCGGGUUGUAAACCGCUUUCGCCUGUGACGAAGCGUGAGUGACGGUAAUGGGUAAAGAAGCACCGGCUAACUACGUGCCAGCAGCCGCGGUGAUACGUAGGGUGCGAGCGUUAAUCGGAAUUACUGGGCGUAAAGCGCACGCAGGCGGUUUGUUAAGUCAGAUGUGAAAUCCCCGGGCUCAACCUGGGAACUGCAUCUGAUACGGGUUGACUUGAGGAAGGUAGGGGAGAAUGGAAUUCCUGGUGGAGCGGUGGAAUGCGCAGAUAUCAGGAGGAACACCAGUGGCGAAGGCGGUUCUCUGGGCCUUUCCUGACGCUGAGGAGCGAAAGCGUGGGGAGCGAACAGGCUUAGAUACCCUGGUAGUCCACGCUGUAAACGGUGGGUACUAGGUGUGGGGUCCAUUCCACGGGUUCCGUGCCGUAGCUAACGCUUUAAGUACCCCGCCUGGGGAGUACGGCCGCAAGGCUAAAACUCAAAGGAAUUGACGGGGCCCCGCACAAGCGGCGGAGCAUGCGGAUUAAUUCGAUGCGACGCGUAGAACCUUACCUGGGUUUGACAUGGAUCGGGAGUGCUCAGAGAUGGGUGUGCCUCUUUUGGGGUCGGUUCACAGGUGGUGCAUGGCUGUCGUCAGCUCGUGU
rnacentral:rRNA from 1 species